UCUUCAUUUGAAAAGUUUUUUUUUUGAUAGAUGUAAUUGUAAAAGUUUUUUCUUGCAUUCUUGUAAUCAAUUUCUUUUCUUUACUUUUCUUUUUUUUUGCAAAUUCAGACAAUUCAAUCAUUUGUAAACGGCAGGUAGAUUUAAAAAGAAAAGGGAUUUCACAGAAUGGAAGAGAGGCACCUUUUGAAAUGAGACAGAAUGUCACUAACUAUCUGGUUAUCUUUACUGUUCAUCCAUGAAUGUAACUGCUUCUCUACCAACUUUCUCACUAUGGCUAAAGUUCAUUUUUUAUCUUCUAUUUUUAUUUUUAUUUUUUUUUAAUAAUGCAAUUGAAUUGAUGCAACACUCUUCAAAAUGAUAACUCUUGUGGGAAUUAAUCCACAAUAAAAGCCACUAUGAGGAUACAAUCUUACAGGUUUUAAACAUUUUAAGAUGAAAAUAAAUCCAUCAAGUCCUUGAGUAAACAUUAACACAUAAAUUGUCAUAAUCUCCCUUGCAGUUUUCUGGGGUUUUUUUUAGUAUAGCUGAGCAAGGGAAAAAAGACACUCAGUGUAUCGCUAAAUAGUAACCAUGGUGGAACAAUUUUUAUAACAGGCGCACAUACAAGUAACAGAGAUAGUACAACAAACUAAAUGGAUCAUAAUUGCAGACAGUCGCCCCGUGGCGAGAAGCAGUGAUUAGAGAGCACACACACACAACCAUUCAAACGUUAACCAUUCAAAGAUAUUUUUUUCUUUCUCAUGAAGAAUGUUAAACCUUGUGAGCAUGUUAUCAAAUAACUUGAAAGUGUCAGACCCAAACAAAAAUUUAAGAAAAAAUAAAUUCACAUUUUACAAUUGGCACACUUUAAUUCAAGUAUCGGUGAAUAUAUAUCUUUUGAUAUGUUUAUGAUUUUUCAUUCUUUGCCCAGAGACAAAAACAUGGUUCAUAAUUACGGGUUUCAACAUAGGUAUACACAAAUACUGCAUGUAUGUCCUGUGUAAUUUAAUUUUAAACAUGCUACUCCAGUAAGACUAUUUGGUUCAUAUCUAUCAUUAAUCACUCUUUCGUUUUUUUUUUCCUUUAGGCAAAUUCUCUCGGAUGACACACUGCAAGGCCUAUUGCUUAUUUCAAAUUAUAUUUUACCUAGUAGUUUCAAAAGGGAAGGAAUCAGAGAUCUGAUAGCAUUUUUUCUACAUAAUGAGCGUGAUAAUAUACAGGAUAAUGUUUAGCUGUAGUCUACCUAUGCUGGUGUCACCAGAGACUUCCUGUGAUGUUUGACUGUUUGGAAUUACAGCCACAUUGUGGUUCACUGUCAGCCAGCCGCGACUGAGUUUGGAACAAGGCAGUUACAUACACAGGCAACAGUGAUCCCCCACACCCAGAAACAGAAAACAAAUAAGUCAAUGAACAACUUUAGUAUCUUAAGACACAUCUGUUGAAAUGUCUUUUCCCAAAAGAAAAAAAAAAGAAGGUUUAUACAGCAUAAAGGCCCAAAAUGAACUGAGACUGAGAUGGAAAUGUACAGUUCAGGGCCCCAUUUUUACAAACAAACAGUUAAUAUGGCAUACACAGAAGGCACUCCAGCUUGCUGUCAACCUUCAGAAUGUGACCAGCAAACAGGAGAUAAUAUCAGCAAGAAGUGCAUUUUUAAAUGUUAUAGAUCUUUUUCCUUCAUUGUUUACGUGUUUUUGUCAAACUUUUAUAAAAAAAA